rnacentral:rRNA from 1 species
UACGUAGGGUGCAAGCGUUAAUCGGAAUUACUGGGCGUAAAGCGCGUGUAGGCUGCUCGGAAAGUCGGAUGUGAAAGCCCUGGGCUCAACCUAGGAAGUGCAUUCGAAACUUCCGAGCUGGAGUGCUGGAGAGGAAGGCGGAAUUCUCGGUGUAGAGGUGAAAUUCGUAGAUAUCGAGAGGAACACCGGUGGCGAAGGCGGCCUUCUGGACAGUAACUGACGCUGGAGACGCGAAAGCGUGGGAGCAAACAGG